AGAGUUUGAUCCUGGCUCAGAUUGAACGCUGGCGGCAUGCUUUACACAUGCAAGUCGAACGGCAGCGCGGGGCAACCUGGCGGCGAGUGGCGAACGGGUGAGUAAUAUAUCGGAACGUACCCAAGAGUGGGGGAUAACGUAGCGAAAGUUACGCUAAUACCGUAUACGAUCCAAGGAUGAAAGCAGGGGACCGCAAGGCCUUGUGCUCCUGGAGCGGCCGAUAUCUGAUUAGCUAGUUGGUAGGGUAAAGGCCUACCAAGGCGACGAUCAGUAGCUGGUCUGAGAGGACGACCAGCCACACUGGAACUGUGACACGGUCCAGACUCCUACGGGAGGCAGCAGUGGGGAAUUUUGGACAAUGGGCGCAAGCCUGAUCCAGCAAUGCCGCGUGAGUGAAGAAGGCCUUCGGGUUGUAAAGCUCUUUUGUCAGGGAAG
rnacentral:rRNA from 1 species